GAAGGUGUGUCGUGAGGCAUGCUGGAGGUAUCAGAAGUGCGAAUGCUGACAUAAGUAACGAUAAAGCGGGUGAAAAGCCCGCUCGCCGGAAGACCAAGGGUUCCUGUCCAACGUUAAUCGGGGCAGGGUGAGUCGACCCCUAAGGCGAGGCCGAAAGGCGUAGUCGAUGGGAAACGGGUUAAUAUUCCCGUACUUGGUGUUACUGCGAAGGGGGGACGGAGAAGGCUAUGUUGGCCGGGCGACGGUUGUCCCGGUUUAAGCGUGUAGGUGUGUGUUCCAGGUAAAUCCGGUCCACUUUAACACUGAGGCGUGAUGACGAGGCACUACGGUGCUGAAGCAACAAAUGCCCUGCUUCCAGGAAAAGCCUCUAAGCAUCAGGUAACAUCAAAUCGUACCCCAAACCGACACAGGUGGUCAGGUAGAGAAUACCAAGGCGCUUGAGAGAACUCGGGUGAAGGAACUAGGCAAAAUGGUGCCGUAACUUCGGGAGAAGGCACGCUGACACGUAGGUGAAGUGAUUUACUCAUGGAGCUGAAGUCAGUCGAAGAUACCAGCUGGCUGCAACUGUUUAUUAAAAACACAGCACUGUGCAAACACGAAAGUGGACGUAUACGGUGUGACGCCUGCCCGGUGCCGGAAGGUUAAUUGAUGGGGUCAGCGCAAGCGAAGCUCCUGAUCGAAGCCCCGGUAAACGGCGGCCGUAACUAUAACGGUCCUAAGGUAGCGAAAUUCCUUGUCGGGUAAGUUCCGACCUGCACGAAUGGCGUAAUGAUGGCCAGGCUGUCUCCACCCGAGACUCAGUGAAAUUGAACUCGCUGUGAAGAUGCAGUGUACCCGCGGCAAGACGGAAAGACCCCGUGAACCUUUACUAUAGCUUGACACUGAACAUUGAGCCUUGAUGUGUAGGAUAGGUGGGAGGCUUUGAAGUGUGGACGCCAGUCUGCAUGGAGCCGACCUUGAAAUACCACCCUUUAAUGUUUGAUGUUCUAACGUGGACCCGUUACCCGGGUUGCGGACAGUGUCUGGUGGGUAGUUUGACUGGGGCGGUCUCCUCCUAAAGAGUAACGGAGGAGCACGAAGGUUGGCUAAUCCUGGUCGGACAUCAGGAGGUUAGUGCAAUGGCAUAAGCCAGCUUGACUGCGAGCGUGACGGCGCGAGCAGGUGCGAAAGCAGGUCAUAGUGAUCCGGUGGUUCUGAAUGGAAGGGCCAUCGCUCAACGGAUAAAAGGUACUCCGGGGAUAACAGGCUGAUACCGCCCAAGAGUUCAUAUCGACGGCGGUGUUUGGCACCUCGAUGUCGGCUCAUCACAUCCUGGGGCUGAAGUAGGUCCCAAGGGUAUGGCUGUUCGCCAUUUAAAGUGGUACGCGAGCUGGGUUUAGAACGUCGUGAGACAGUUCGGUCCCUAUCUGCCGUGGGCGCUGGAGAACUGAGGGGGGCUGCUCCUAGUACGAGAGGACCGGAGUGGACGCAUCACUGGUGUUCGGGUUGUCAUGCCAAUGGCACUGCCCGGUAGCUAAAUGCGGAAGAGAUAAGUGCUGAAAGCAUCUAAGCACGAAACUUGCCCCGA
rnacentral:rRNA from 1 species